GAGGAACUAAUUAAAAUAUAAUAUUACCUUGUCAGGGUAAACUUAUAAGUGAGACCCUUGUGUUCUUCU
rnacentral:tRNA from 1 species